GGGCCCGCACAAGCGGUGGAGCAUGUGGUUUAAUUCGAUGAUACGCGAGGAACCUUACCAGGGCUUAAAUGUUAGGUGACAGAUCUAGAAAUAGAUUUUUCUUCGGACACUUAACAAGGUGCUGCAUGGUUGUCGUCAGCUCGUGCCGUGAGGUGUCAGUUAAGUCCUAUAACGAGCGCAACCCCCUGUUGUUAGUUGCCAGCGAGUAAUGUCGGGAACUCUAGCAAGACUGCCAGUGCAAACUGUGAGGAAGGUGGGAUGACGUCAAAUCAUCACGGCCCUUACGUCCUGGGCUACACACGUGCUACAAUGGUACAGACAGAGGGCAGCCACCUGGCGACAGGGAGCGAAUCCUUAAACUGUAUCUC
rnacentral:rRNA from 1 species